AUGUGCCGGAACCUGACUUCGAUCUCGUCAAAAUUCUGGUGGGGUGCAACGAAUGGUGAUAAGAAAGUGCAUUGGAUUUCAUGGGAGAAGAUGUGUGCAGCAAAAUGUGAUGGUGGUCUUGGCUUUAGAGACCCGGAAGCGUUUAAUCAAGCUCUCCUAGCAAAGCAGGCAUGGAGGAUCUUGCUAUAUCCAGCCUCGCUGUGUGCACGUGUCCUCAAGGCGAGAUACUUUCCGGAUAACUCCAUCAUGUCGGCUACGUGCCCCUCGGGGGGGUCGUUCACUUUUAGAAGUAUACUACAUGGGCGUGACCUGCUGCGAGAGGGGCUGAUUUGGAGAGUCGGAUAUGGGUCCAAGAUUAAUGUUCAUCAUGACAAUUGGAUCCCUAGGAGCGGGAGUAUGAAUCCAUUGGGAGCCGUAUAUGUCCAGGGAGUGACAAGGGUGGCGGAUCUGCUGUCACCGGAUGGCACCUCGUGGAGUUCAGCUCGGGUUGAUGAGAUGUUCUCCCCUGAUGAUGCGGCUGACAUAAAACAAAUUGCAGUUGGUGGACCGGGAACAGAAGACACUUUAGCUUGGAACUAUACUAAGAAUGGGGUGUUCUCGGUGCGCUCGGCCUACCACCUCAGAAUGACUAUGAACAAGGUGAGAUCCGGAUAG
rnacentral:rRNA from 1 species